UACGUAGGUGGCGAGCGUUGUCCGGAUUUACUGGGCGUAAAGGGAGCGUAGGCGGACUUCUAAGUGAGAUGUGAAAUACUCGGGCUCAACUUGAGUGCUGCAUUUCAAACUGGAAGUCUAGAGUGCAGGAGAGGAGAAUGGAAUUCCUAGUGUAGCGGUGAAAUGCGUAGAGAUUAGGAAGAACACCAGUGGCGAAGGCGAUUCUCUGGACUGUAACUGACGCUGAGGCUCGAAAGCGUGGGGAGCAAACAGG
rnacentral:rRNA from 1 species